GGUGAACGCUGGCGGCGUGCCUAAUACAUGCAAGUCGAGCGAACAGACGAGGAGCUUGCUCCUCUGACGUUAGCGGCGGACGGGUGAGUAACACGUGGAUAACCUACCUAUAAGACUGGGAUAACUUCGGGAAACCGGAGCUAAUACCGGAUAAUAUAUUGAACCGCAUGGUUCAAUGGUGAAAGACGGUUUUGCUGUCACUUAUAGAUGGAUCCGCGCCGCAUUAGCUAGUUGGUAAGGUAACGGCUUACCAAGGCAACGAUGCGUAGCCGACCUGAGAGGGUGAUCGGCCACACUGGAACUGAGACACGGUCCAGACUCCUACGGGAGGCAGCAGUAGGGAAUCUUCCGCAAUGGGCGAAAGCCUGACGGAGCAACGCCGCGUGAGUGAUGAAGGUCUUCGGAUCGUAAAACUCUGUUAUGAGGGAAGAACAAAUGUGUAAGUAACUAUGCACGUCUUGACGGUACCUAAUCAGAAAGCCACGGCUAACUACGUG
rnacentral:rRNA from 1 species